CAUCAAAGGGUGCCCCAUGACGGGGCUGAGAUUAUACCUUCAGACCUGAUGCAGUUAGUACUGCCGUAGGGAUUGAUUCG
rnacentral:ncRNA from 1 species